rnacentral:rRNA from 1 species
UACGUAGGGGGCAAGCGUUGUCCGGAAUCAUUGGGCGUAAAGAGCGUGUAGGCGGCCAGAAAAGUCCGCUGUGAAAACUCGAGGCUCAACUUCGAGCUGUCGGUGGAAGCUUUCUGGCUAGAGUCCGGAAGAGGAGAAUGGAAUUCCUAGUGUAGAGGUGAAAUUCGUAGAUAUUAGGAAGAACACCAGUGGCGAAGGCGGCUCACUGGCCCGGUACUGACGCUGAGGUGCGAAAGCGUGGGGAGCAAACAGG